UACGUAGGGUGCAAGCGUUACUCGGAAUUACUGGGCGUAAAGCGCGCGCAGGCGGUUUUGUAAGUCUGUCGUGAAAGCCCCGGGCUCAACCGGGGAAUUGCGAUGGAGACUGCAAGGCUUGAAUCUGGCAGAGGGGGGUAGAAUUCCACGUGUAGCAGUGAAAUGCGUAGAGAUGUGGAGGAACACCGAUGGCGAAGGCAGCCCCCUGGGUCAAGAUUGACGCUCAUGCACGAAAGCGUGGGGAGCAAACAGG
rnacentral:rRNA from 1 species